rnacentral:lncRNA from 1 species
CUGGGUCCACUGCAAUGUCCACUCUGUGUCCACUCGGUGUCCACUCCAAUGUCCACUGCAAUGUCCACUCCAGUGUCCACUCCUGUGUCCACUCUGUGUCCAUUCCCAGUGUCCAUUCCGAUGUCCACUUCCAAUGUCCACUCCUGUGUCCACUCUGUGUCCAUUCCCAGUGUCCAUUCUGAUGUCCAUUCCCAGUGUCCACUCUCCAUGAGUGACCACAGCUGUGGUCAUUUUUGGGUGGUCACUUGGUCACUCCCAGGCCAGCAGAUGGUCAGUGUCCACUCCCGUGUCCACUCUUCAGUGUCCACUACUGUGUCCACUCCCAGUGUCCAUUCCGAUGUCCACUCCCAGUGUCCACUCUCCAUGAAUGACCACAGCUGUGGUCACUCUCAGUUGGUCACUUGGUCACUCCCAGGCCAGCACAUGGUCAGUGUCCACUCCCAGUGUCCACUCCCUGUGUCCACUCUCCAUGAGUGACCACAGCUGUGGUCAUCCUUGGAUGGUCAGUUGGUCAUUCCAGGCCAGCACAUGGUCAGUGUCCACUCCGGUGUCCACUGCAAUGUCCACUCCAAUGUCCACUCCAGUGUCCACUCCAGUGUCCACUCCAGUGUCCACUCCCAGUGUCCACUCUCCAUGAGUGACCACAGCUGUGGUCACUUUUGGGUGGUCAGUUGGUCACUCCCAGGCCAACACAUGGUCAGUGUCCACUCCAGUGUCCACUCUGUAUUGUCCACUCUCCAUGAGUGACCACAGCUGCGGUCAUUUUUGGAUGGUCAGUUGGUCAGUGGCCAUUCCUGGGUGGUCACUCAGUGGUCAGUGGUCACUCCAUGGUCAUUCUCAGGCCAGCCCGUGGUCACUCAGUGAUCAGUGGUCACUCAGUGGUCACUCUCAGGCCAGCCUGUGGUCACUCCCAGGUGGUAACUCCGUGGUCAAUGGUCACUCAGCGGUCAAUGGUCACUCAGCGGUCAAUGGUCACUCAGUGGUCACUCAGUGGGU